rnacentral:rRNA from 1 species
UACAGAGGGGGCAAGCGUUAUUCGGAAUUAUUGGGCGUAAAGGGCGCGUAGGCGGCUUGGCAAGUGGAAGGUGAAAUCCCUCGGCUUAACCGAGGAACUGCCCUCCAAACUGCUUUGCUUGGGGCCGGGAGAGGCGAGUGGAAUUCCCAGUGUAGCGGUGAAAUGCGUAGAUAUUGGGAGGAACACCAGUGGCGAAGGCGGCUCGCUGGACCGGUUCUGACGCUGAGGCGCGAAAGCGUGGGGAGCAAACGGG